rnacentral:rRNA from 1 species
CCUACGGGAGGCAGCAGUGGGGAAUCUUGCGCAAUGGGCGAAAGCCUGACGCAGCCAUGCCGCGUGAAUGAUGAAGGUCUUAGGAUUGUAAAAUUCUUUCACCGAGGACGAUAAUGACGGUACUCGGAGAAGAAGCCCCGGCUAACUUCGUGCCAGCAGCCGCGGUAAUACGAAGGGGGCUAGCGUUGCUCGGAAUUACUGGGCGUAAAGGGAGCGUAGGCGGAUAGUUUAGUCAGAGGUGAAAGCCCAGGGCUCAACCUUGGAAUUGCCUUUGAUACUGGCUAUCUUGAGUACGGAAGAGGUAUGUGGAACUCCGAGUGUAGAGGUGAAAUUCGUAGAUAUUCGGAAGAACACCAGUGGCGAAGGCGACAUACUGGUCCGUUACUGACGCUGAGGCUCGAAAGCGUGGGGAGCAAACAGGAUUAGAUACCCUGGUAGUCCACGCUGUAAACGAUGAGUGCUAGUUGUCGGCAUGCAUGCAUGUCGGUGACGCAGCUACGCAUAAGUACACUCCGCCGUCGGGGUAGGUACGGUCGCGAGAAGUUAAACGUACAAUAGAAGUUAGUACGGCGUGAGACGUGACCGACGGACGACGACGAGGGAGGAGG